CUUCGUAUCAACUUUAAAUCAUCUACAGACAUUCCUUUUUACAAUCAAACAUCAAUAAAGCUUAUAUCUUAUAGGCGGGAAAAUUGCACUAUAUAUUGAUCUGCACCACAUUCGAGAGGGCCACGGAGAUAUAUCCGGCCAAUUACUACCUUCGUGCCUAAAAGAAAUGUCAAAGUCUUCAAAAUCAUUCUGUCGCAGUCAAUUACUGUACAUAUUUCAGGGAAAUGUGUAUGAGGGUGAUUAAAGAUGCAGGAGAGAAAGGAAUGGACAAGCAGGUGACAUGGAGGUCAGAAUGAAGCUGACAGAUGAAAAGCAUAAACAAGAACAAUGAGAUGAUAUUUCAGGGAAAUGUGGAUGAGGGUGAUUAAAGAUGCAGGAGAGAAAAGAAUGGACAAGCAGGUGACAUUGAGGUCAGAAUGAAGCUGACAGAUGAAAAGCAUAAACAAGAACAAUGAGAUAGUGAGUAUGUAAUAUUGCUAAUUAAAGAUGUAUUUUCUAACUUCUAGAUAUUUCAGGGAAAAUGUGGAUGAGGGUGAUUAAAGAUGCAGGAGAGAAAGAAAUGGACAAACAGAUGACAUGGAUUUCAGAAUGAAGCUGACAGAUGAAAAGCAUAUACAAGAACAAUGAGAUGGUGAGUAUGUAAUAUUGCUAAUUUUGGAUGUAUUUUUUAACUUUUAGAUAUUUCAGGGAAAUGUGGAUGAGGGUGAUUAAAGAUGCAGGAGAGAAAGAAAUGGACAAACAGAUGACAUGGAAGUCAGAAUGAAGCUGACAGAUGAAAAGCAUAAACAAGAACAGUGAGAUGGUGAGUAUGUAAUAUUGCUAAUUAAGGAUGUAUUUUCUAUCUUUUAGAUAUUUCAGAGAAAUGUGAAUGAGGGUGAUUAAAGAUGCAGGAGAGAAAGGAAUGGACAAGCAGGUGACAUGGAGGUCAGAAUGAAGCUGA
rnacentral:lncRNA from 1 species